rnacentral:lncRNA from 1 species
UCUUUUUGUAUAGAAGAAUCAUCCUAAACUGUUGAAUCACUCAUUCCCAAAUGGAUGCCAUCAACCUGCCAAGGCUGGAAGUAGUUUUCAAGCAAUACCCAUUCACCAUCUGGCAUUCGAGCAUUCAACAAACUCAAACAUCAUAAUACAUGAAUUACAAUUGGAAUCAAUAGAGCAACCACUAACCUCAGCUUCAGAU